UGUUGCGGCCUGUACUUCUACCAA
rnacentral:miRNA from 1 species